GACGAACGCUGGCGGCGUGCUUAACACAUGCAAGUCGAACGGAAAGGCCCUGCUUUUGUGGGGUGCUCGAGUGGCGAACGGGUGAGUAACACGUGAGUAACCUGCCCUUGACUUUGGGAUAACUUCAGGAAACUGGGGCUAAUACCGGAUAGGAGCUCCUGCUGCAUGGUGGGGGUUGGAAAGUUUCGGCGGUUGGGGAUGGACUCGCGGCUUAUCAGCUUGUUGGUGGGGUAGUGGCUUACCAAGGCUUUGACGGGUAGCCGGCCUGAGAGGGUGACCGGCCACAUUGGGACUGAGAUACGGCCCAGACUCCUACGGGAGGCAGCAGUGGGGAAUAUUGCACAAUGGGCGGAAGCCUGAUGCAGCAACGCCGCGUGCGGGAUGACGGCCUUCGGGUUGUAAACCGCUUCCGCCUGUGACGAAGCGUGAGUGACGGUAAUGGGUAAAGAAGCACAGGCUAACUACGUG
rnacentral:rRNA from 1 species